GGAAGUAAAAGACGUAACAAGGUCUCCGUAGGUGAACCUGCGGAGGGAUCAUUACAGAGUUCAUGCCCUACCGGGUAGAUCUCCCACCCUAUGUUAUUAUUACUUUGUUGCUUUGGCGGGCCGUUAGGCUCCGGCCCGACUACCGGCCCCGGCUGGUAAGCGCCCGCCAGAGGACCCAAAACCCUAAAUAUUAGUGUCGUCUGAGUACUAUAUAAUAGUUAAAACUUUCAACAACGGAUCUCUUGGUUCUG
rnacentral:misc_RNA from 1 species